UCUUCUGUAAGCAAGAACAAAGGGUGAUUGG
rnacentral:piRNA from 1 species